GGCUUCAUAGCUCAGUUGGUAGAGCACUGAACCGCCAUCGCAGAGGUCAUGGGUUCAAUUCCCGUUGAAGNCC
rnacentral:tRNA from 1 species